UACAGAGGUCUCAAGCGUUGUUCGGAUUCAUUGGGCGUAAAGGGUGCGUAGGCGGCGCGGUAAGUCGGAUGUGAAAUCUCGGAGCUUAACUCCGAAACUGCAUUCGAUACUGCCGUGCUUGAGGACUGGAGAGGAGACUGGAAUUUACGGUGUAGCGGUGAAAUGCGUAGAUAUCGUAAGGAAGACCAGUGGCGAAGGCGGGUCUCUGGACAGUUCCUGACGCUGAGGCACGAAGGCCAGGGGAGCAAACGGGG
rnacentral:rRNA from 1 species